CCGCAAGGAUCACUUAGACCUCAUGUCAGAUUUAAGCAGCCUCGCAGUCUCUCAUGGAGGAAUCACCCACCCUUAGUUCCCAGUUACAGGGAAGAUGGCUGAAACAGCAAAGAUCAUCCUACCCAUUCAUUUUCCUGAUGAGGACACCAAGCCCAGGAGCCCAGAACCCGUUCAGGGUACACCGCUAGGGGACGCUGUGUACAAGGAGGCUCUGAUGUGGUUCUGCAAGUCACCCUUCUCAGCCUUUCCGCCUCAAACUGCUUCCCUCUCUUUCUACAUUUUUUCCCUCAAAUUCACACUCAAGACCAAAGAAAAGGAAAAAUAAAAUAGAAUUUUAAAAAAUAUUAGAGCCCUGGUGAUUAUUAUUCAUGAUGUUGCAUCUGGAGGAACCAAGGGCAAAAACUAGAUGCUAUUACAGCUGUGUUUUAAUGCAGCUGGCUGUGGUGCACGGGGCCUUAAGCGUAAUGUUGAUUCCUCUUCCUUGGUAUUCAUUCCAUCUGAAAGAGACUAUGUUCUUCCAUUUUCUAAGACUUUGAAACCCGGACUUCUGACUUCAUAGUCAUGUUAGGUGAGCAAAAGACACUUACACAAAAGGAUAAGCACGCAGCUCUGUCGAAACGAAUAGAGGAUUCCGCUUUAAUAACUAGCUACCUUCUUCUAGUUGCAGUUAGCAAUAGGUAUCUCUGACGAUGGGUAUAGCUUAAGAGUAAAACUUUUCACAAGCCAGUACUCGCUGGAAACCCACAUGGAAGGAAAGCUCCGAAGAUUUCAACUAAAAAGAAAAAAAAAAGAAGAAGAAGAAGAAACACAGGCGAAAGGAAGAAAGAAAACGGGAGACGAGGAAGAAAGGACUGAGAAAAGAGACAGUCUAGGGCCCCAGCCUGGAAGCAGCAACAAGCCCUGGGUGCCUCACAUCAAAGACCAAAUGGCAGCAAAGAAAAACAAGCCUAAAGUUUAAAACCAUUCACAGUAAAGUCUCCCUCCCUACAGGAGCAAACAGCCGAUCAACCCAUUCAAGCAAAAUCAGGUUUUUCCCCGCCUUGCAUUUCCCAGGUACAGACUAAGCCUAGGGCGGCUUCAAGGAAACUUCAGUUUAAAUUCCUUAAACUCAAGGGACGACAAAGUCUCUGGUGAGCAGUGAACUGAGCGCGGGACGCGCGGACACCCGAGCCAUCUAAGUCGUCGGGGACGCGGCACCAAUAAACUUGGGGAGCCCCUUGCCAGCCCUCUCGCGUCCCCAACCCGAUCCAGGCAUGUAUGUGACAAGAUAGAAGACAGAAGAGCCAAACAUAUGUACAGAGAGGCUGAGAGAAGCGCAUCCACAGAACAAUGUGACCAGAGCUGACAGGAAAACAUGUUUGAGGUGUGGGACAGUAACAGUGAGGUCUGUGCAUUCUGAAAGGAGAGAGCACCUGCUUCCUGGAGGUGGUGUUGGGGGGGACAGGAAGACCUCAGAGGGGAAAAUACUGUAGAGAAUGUUUACAUAGAAGGGUCCAAGUUGCAAAGCUAGCCUCCUUUAAGGACCAGUGCUCUGACUCACCAUGCAGAAAAGGAUGGGGGAAGGUGCUGGGGACACAGCAUUAGUAAGGUCAGAAGUUCAGGGUUGACCUUGGCUAUGUGGUAAGUUCAAAGCCAGCAUGGGCUACAUGUUGUCUCAA